GACAGAGGGUGCAAACGUUGUUCGGAAUUACUGGGCGUAAAGCGCGUGUAGGCGGCCCAGCAAGUCGGAUGUGAAAGCCCUGGGCUUAACCUAGGAAGUGCAUUCGAAACUGCUGGGCUUGAGUUCUGGAGAGGAAGGCGGAAUUCUCGGUGUAGAGGUGAAAUUCGUAGAUAUCGAGAGGAACACCGGUGGCGAAGGCGGCCUUCUGGACAGUGACUGACGCUGAGACGCGAAAGCGUGGGGAGCAACAGG
rnacentral:rRNA from 1 species